rnacentral:rRNA from 1 species
UACAGAGGGUGCGAGCGUUGUUCGGAAUUAUUGGGCGUAAAGGGCGCGUAGGCGGCGCCACAAGUCACCUGUGAAAACUCUGGGCUCAACCCAGAGCCUGCAGGCGAAACUGUGGUGCUGGAGUAUGGGAGAGGUGCGUGGAAUUCCCGGUGUAGCGGUGAAAUGCGCAGAUAUCAGGAGGAACACCAAUUGCGAAGGCAGCUCGCUGGGACGUUACUGACGCUGAGACGCGAAAGCGUGGGAGCAAACAGG